CCCUUAGAUGUUCUGGGCGGCCCGCGCACUACACUGGCACUCUCAAUCAGAGCCUGGAUCUAACACUUUGGGGUAUUCUAUGAAGUGGUGUCGUGACUGGGAUUAACCCUUGCAAUUAUUGGUUACGAACGAGGAAUUCCUUGUAAUCGCGGUUUAUCAGCCCGCGUUGAAUGCGUCCCUGCCCUUUGUACACACCGCCCGUCGCUACUACCGAUGGAUCGUCCGGUGAAGCUCAUGGAGGGGCGGUUGUCUCAGCUGCCGUCGAAGUGAAAUGGACCUCACGAUCUAGAGGAAGGAGAAGUCGUAACA
rnacentral:rRNA from 1 species